GGCCCCAGGCCCUACGGGGCGCAGCAGGCGCGAAAACUCCGCAAUGCACGAAAGUGUGACGGGGUCAGCCCGAGUGCCAACUGAAAAUGUUGGCUUUCACCUGCGUAAAUAGCCGGUGGAAUAAGGGGAGGGCAAGGCUGGUGCCAGCCGCCGCGGUAAAACCAGCUCCUCGAGUAGUCAAGACGAUUAUUGGGCCUAAAGCGUCCGUAGCCGGCCUAGUAAGUCUCUGGUUAAAUCUAACGGCUCAACCGUUAGGCUGCUAGAGAUACUGCUAGACUCGGAGGCGGGAUAGGUCGAGGGUACUCUCAGGGUAGGGGUGAAAUCCUAUAAUCCUGAGGGGACCACCAGUGGCGAAGGCGCUCGACUGGAACGCGCUCGACGGUGAGGGACGAAAGCCAGGGGAGCGAACCGGAUUAGAUACCCGGGUAGUCCUGGCCGUAAACGAUGUGGACUAAGUGUUAGGGCGGCCACGAGCUGCCCUAGUGCUGGAGGGAAGCCGUUAAGUCCACCGCCUGGGGAGUACGGCCGCAAGGCUGAAACUUAAAGGAAUUGGCGGGGGAGCACCACAAGGGGUGAAGCCUGCGGUUUAAUUGGACUCAACGCCGGAAAUCUUA
rnacentral:rRNA from 1 species